CAGAAUCUUAGUAAUCUCCUGGACAGAAUGGGCAAGCUAUUGCUGGAGGUCUUAUACUCUGGAGCAUGAAGCAGAGGUUGGGCAGAAGAUCCAGGCCCCAGGCUUCCUGCGUGGGGAGUACUGUUCCUAUCUUGGGCUGAUGACGUGCAAAGCAAACUCCAGUGGGAUUUCUUGGCAGAGCCUUAUCUUGGGAAGGAGAAGCCAACCAGAGGCCCUUGAGGUUAAACAUGGAGCCCAGAACGAUUUCCAGGAAGAAUGUGGAGUGAUAAAGCAGCAACAACAAAUCAGCCUCUCCAAGAUUCAGAGUCCAGACACUGGAAAAUAAAAACUUGGGGAAGUAAAGGAGGGAAGUAGAUUCCUGGGGCCCAGGAAGAAUCUGACGGGAAAAUUGGAGAAAUUGAAGAGACAGACAAAAACACAGAAAAAGGAGGGGGCAAUCUGCACGUUCUCCCUGGAUCCUGGCUUGUGACAAGAGAAAGGAAGAUUGAAUCUACAGAGACACAGUAAAUGCAGGCAGCCCCAGAGGCCUUCAUGGAAAAAUGCAGCAGUGGAACAGAGCAGUGGGUGCCAAACAUGACAACGGGUGGUGAGUGACUCCAGUCCAAACAUCUACCAUAGCUCCUGGAGUGAGUGUGUGUUGAGUUGCCAUUUUAGGGAGGGGCCAACUGAACUCAGGACUCAGAAUAGUCAUAGAUUGGCUUCAUCUCAGGGCUUCCAGUGUUAAACUCCCACAGGGACUGGGUGAGGGACAACCACGGGAGAUAUCCAUGGUAAGGGAGCUGUGAUCAGGCCAGCAAGACACACCCUCAGUGUUAUAAGCUAAAUGACUCAGGCCUCACCCCC
rnacentral:lncRNA from 1 species